GAUGAACGCUGGCGGCGUGCCUAAUACAUGCGAGUAGAACGCUGAAGGAGGAGCUUGCUCUUCUGGAUGAGUUGCGAACGGGUGAGUAACGCGUAGGUAACCUGCCUGGUAGCGGGGGAUAACUAUUGGAAACGAUAGCUAAUACCGCAUGACAACAGUUAUUGCAUGAUAACUGUUUAAAAGGGGCAACUGCUCCACUACCAGAUGGACCUGCGUUGUAUUAGCUAGUUGGUGAGGUAACGGCUCACCAAGGCGACGAUACAUAGCCGACCUGAGAGGGUGAUCGGCCACACUGGGACUGAGACACGGCCCAGACUCCUACGGGAGGCAGCAGUAGGGAAUCUUCGGCAAUGGACGGAAGUCUGACCGAGCAACGCCGCGUGAGUGAAGAAGGGUUUCGGAUCGUAAAGCUCUGUUGUAAGAGAAGAACGAGUGUGAGAGUGGAAAGUUCACACUGUGACGGUAUCUUACCAGAAAGGGACGGCUAACUACGUG
rnacentral:rRNA from 1 species